rnacentral:rRNA from 1 species
GACGUAGGGUGCAAGCGUUGUCCGGAUUUAUUGGGCGUAAAGAGCGUGUAGGCGGCCUGGAAGGUCAGCUGUGAAAACUCGAGGCUCAACCUCGAGACGUCGGUUGAAACCACCUGGCUAGAGUCCGGAAGAGGAGAAUGGAAUUCCCGGUGUAGCGGUGAAAUGCGCAGAUAUCGGGAAGAACACCCGUGGCGAAGGCGGUUCUCUGGGACGGUACUGACGCUGAGACGCGAAAGCGUGGGGAGCGAACAGG